CACUGGUCAAGAGCUGACGUCGCUAUCCUGAUGAGUCCAAGGCAGGACGAAACCAGUG
rnacentral:sRNA from 1 species